rnacentral:SRP_RNA from 2 species
CUGUGCUAGCCGGGGAGGUAGCGGUGCCCUGUACUUGCAACCCGCUGUAGCAAGGGUGAUGCUUCGGCUGAGGCAGCAUCUUGUGAGGCUCUGCCUCUAGAAAGUGGUGUUGACGAUUGGGUCUCACGCAAUAGGUCUUUAUGAACCGGGUCAGGUCUUGACGGAAGCAGCCCUAAGUAAAGUCGCUUAUGUGCCGUGAGGGUGCCUGGUCUGAGCUAACUACUAGAGUAACGCUUGUAAGGUGUUGUCGAAGCCAAGUGCACAG